UGAGGAAACUCACUGGAGUUCAUACUCCAGUAUCCUGUACUGAAUCCAUAGGUACAGGAGGGGAACCGCCUGAACUGAAACAUCUAAGUAGGGCGAGGAAGAGACAUCAAACGAGAUUCCGUAAGUAGUGGCGAGCGAACGCGGAAGAGGGCAAACCGAGAGUAGAAAUACUUUCGGGGUACGGACUGCUUUUAAGACUCAAUCUGUUAACCGAACGGCAUGGGAAGGCCGGUCAGAGAGUGUGAGAACCACGUAGGUGAAAACGGAGAGAGCUGCGCAGGAUCCAGAGUACGGCCAGACACGUGAAACCUGGUCGGAAUACGGGGGGACCACCCUCCAACCCUAAAUACUACCCAGUGACCGAUAGCGUAUAGUACUGUGAAGGAAAGGUGAAAAGCACCCCGGGAGGGGAGUGAAAAAGAACCUGAAACCCUGUGCCUACAAGCACCUAGAGCACGUCAAAGUGUGAUAGGGUACUUUUUGUAGAACGGUCCGGCGAGCGAUUGUAUGCAGCAAGGUUAAGGACUUAAGGUCUGGAGCCGAAGCGAAAGCGAGUUUGAAAAGGGCGUUAAGUUGCAUAUAAUGGGCCCGAAACCGGGUGACCUACCCAUGGUCAGGUUGAAGUGGAAGUAAAAUUCCAUGGAGGACCGAACCGACCUCCGUUGAAAAGGCGGCGGAUGAACUGUGGGUAGCGGAGAAAUUCCAAUCGAACCCGGAGAUAGCUGGUUCUCCCCGAAAUAGUUUUAGGACUAGCCUCAAGUUAGAUACCUGGAGGUAAAGCACUGAAUAGCCUAGCGGCCGAGAGGUUAGCGAAGCUUAUCAAACUCAGAAUGCCAGAGUAUUGAUGCUUGGGAGUCAGACAGUGUCAGAUAAAUGUCAUUGUCAAAAGGGAAACAGCCCAGAUCUACAGCUAAGGUCCCAAAGUCAGGUUAAGUGGAAAACGAUGUGAAGAUACGCAGACAACCAGGAUGUUGGCUCAGAAGCAGCCACUCAUUCAAAGAGUGCGUAAUAGCUCACUGGUCGAGCGUCUUUGCGCGGAGAAUUUAACGGGGCUAAACCUGACACCGAAGCUUAGGCAAUGUAGUAAUACAUUGGGUAGGGGAGCGUUGUAUACGCGGAGAAACAGUAGCGUAAGCGGCUGUGGAGUGUAUAGAAGUGAGAAUGCCGGAAUGAGUAGCGCGAAUGCAGUGAGAAUCUGCAUGGCCGAAAGCCUCAGGUUUUUGGAGGAAGGUUCGUCCGCUCCAAGUUAGUCGGGAGCUAAGGUGAGGCCGGAAGGCGUAGCCGAUGCACAGACGGUAGAGAUUCCGUCACCACCAAAAGAGUUAAGCACAGGGACACAUAUGAAGUCUCAGAGCCGGGUGUUGGUUCCGGUAGAGAUCGAGGGAAAUUAGUACCGAAGUCUGAGAUGGAAGAUGGCGAGAAAAGCUGUGUGUAUUUCUGAGGUGCCCGUACCGCAAACCGACACAGGUAGGUAGGAAGAAGAUUCUAAGGCCAACGGGAGAAGGGUUGUUAAGGAACUCGGCAAAUUGACCCCGUAACUUCGGGAGAAGGGGUGCUCCAGAGAUGGAGCCGCAGAGAAUCGGCCCAAGCAACUGUUUACCAAAAACACAGGUUUGUGCUAAAUCGAAAGAUGACGUAUACGAGCUGACGCCUGCCCGGUGCUGGAAGGUUAAGAGGAGAUGUGCAAGCAUUGAAUCGAAGCCCCAGUGAACGGCGGCCGUAACUAUAACGGUCCUAAGGUAGCGAAAUUCCUUGUCAGGUAAGUUCUGACCCGCAUGAAAGGCGUAAUGAUUUGGGCACUGUCUCAACAGCCCGCCCGGCGAAAUUGUAGUACCGGUGAAGAUGCCGGUUACCCGCGACAAGACGGAAAGACCCCAUGGAGCUUUACUGUAGCCUAAUAUUGGGUUUCGAUGUUGCAUGCACAGGAUAGAUGGGACUCUUGGAAACCAAGGCUUUGGCUUUGGCGGAGAGGCCGUUGGGAUACCAUCCUUGCGAUAUUGGAAUUCUAACCUGCGGCUCUGAAUCGAGUCGGGGGACAUUGUUAGGUGGGCAGUUUGACUGGGGCGGUCGCCUCCUAAAAAGUAACGGAGGCGUUCAAAGGUUCGCUCAGCUUGAACGGAAAUCAAGCAAAAGAGUGCAAACGCAGAAGCGAGCCUAACUGCGAGACUGACGGGUCGAGCAGUAACGAAAGUUGGAGUUAGUGAUCCGGUGGUAUGUGAGUGGAAAUGCCAUCGCUCAACGGAUAAAAGUUACCCUGGGGAUAACAGGCUGAUCUCCCCCAAGAGUCCACAUCGACGGGGAGGUUUGGCACCUCGAUGUCGGCUCAUCGCAUCCUGGGGCUGUAUUCGGUCCCAAGGGUUUGGCUGUUCGCCAAUUAAAGCGGUACGCGAGCUGGGUUCAGAACGUCGUGAGACAGUUCGGUCCCUAUCCGGCGUGGGCGUAGGAUAUCUGAGAGGAGCUGUCCUUAGUACGAGAGGACCGGGAUGGACGGACCACUGGUGUAUCUGUUGUCGACCAACGGCAUGGCAGAGUAGCCAAGUCUGGAAGGGAUAAACGCUGAAGGCAUCUAAGCGUGAAGCCCCCCUCAAGAUGAGAUAUCCCAUACGCAAGUAGUAAGACCCCUUGA
rnacentral:rRNA from 1 species